GGUCUUCUUGCUUCAAGGUGGCUCCUAGGCAGCUGGGCGGCUUGGGUUCUUGGAGAGGAAGGGGAGGAGAGCUGGUAGCAAGCCUGAAUGGUCCCCUUUGCUAAGCAGGAUCCAUCCUGGUUUACAUCUGAAGGGGAGACUACAUCAUGUGAGCCCUCUUCAAGGGUGUCUGGUGCCAUGGAUACAAAGAGCCAAGCUGACCAAGGAAAGAAGCUACUAGCCAGAGCAGCGAGGGACUGUGGGAGUGACGGAGGAACAGCAGCAUCCCGCUGAGAAUGCAAAGCAUUGACGACCUUCCUGUAUUCCUCGGUAACCGCUGGAAAAGUUAUAUCUGGGAAAUAGCUACAGCGAGAAAGAAGGUAAGCAGCUGCUUCUUCUUCUUCUUCUUCUUCUUCUUCUUCUUCUUCUUCUUCUUCUUCUUCUUCUUCUUCUUCUUCUUCAACUCCUCCUCCUCCUCCUCUUCCUCCUCCUCCAUAAGCUUAUAUACAGCCUUGGGUUUAUUCCCUCUUUUUGACAGUUAAAGCACCACAUUUUCAUUGAUGCCAGGAGAUGUUGAACAGUAGCGCUCACAUCCUGGGGUGCCUCUGUUAUGGCACAAGAGAUAUUCCCAGACUGAUUGGGCAAGGUUCGGACCACAAUGUGUGUCUGGACAUUUAAAUUUGCAUUCUGAUUGGGCAAGACCUCUAGGGUUUUUAAAUUCUGUCUUGAUUGAAUUGGGCAAGAUCUCUAGGAUUUUUAAAUUGUAUAUGGAAUUGGGCAAGAUCAAGGCCUGUGUGGGCCUCGAUUUUUAAAUUGCAUCCCCCAGCUUGACAUUGACAUUUGUAUUCUGAUUGGGCAAGACCUCUAGGGUUUUUAAAUUCUGUAAGGAAUUGGGCAAGAUCAGGGCCUGUGUGGGCCUCGAUUUUUAAAUUGCAUCCCCCAGCUUGACCGAGCACACAAUCUCUAGGUUCCCUUAGAGUGAAUUGGGCAUGAUACCAUUUUUUUUUAAAAAAAUACCAUUGUCUGGGCAGCUUUAGGCCAGUGGACUGGAGUCCCAUGAGCUUGGAAUCUCCAAUGGCUCAACUGGGCAAGACGAUUGGUGUCUUUAAAUUCUGUCAGGGCCUUGUGGACAUAUUUUUUUAGCCAGGGGUGUAGUGUUAAAUUUGGAUCGACUGACCACCCACUUUGAUUCAUGCUCUUGAUCAAGACUGAAUCAAAUGCAUCACGUUGCGUGUUUUAUAUGCGCUGUGUCCCAAGUGUUUGGUGACCCAUGAAGAGAUGACUUCUUGUUUAGUGCACUCAUGGCCAUCUCGGAUCCUUAUUCCUUACCUAAGGAAAAAAGCAUUGAUUUUGAAUGCUGGGCUCAAGGUUUUGAUGUUUUUCAUGUCUAUUGAUAAAAUGGUAGAAAUCAUUUCACAUGCAAAUGUUUAAAUUGAUUAUGUCAUGCAAGGGUUUUGAGAACUGUCUUGACUAAAGAAAUAGUCUGAUUGCCUUGUCAGCAAGAAAGGUUCUUGCAGCCUAGGUGCAAAUCCUGCUAUCUUGCACAGACACAACAAACCUUGUGGAAGGUUGUGUCUUUGUUGAAGAUGAUGUUUAGCAGUAUAGCAUUCAAGACUCUUCAGACAUGGAUUGCGUGAACGCCCGGCCUGAGAAAUUGACACCAGAGUGAAUGGAGGCGAAUGCACCUGCUUAAGGAGAGGAAGGCAGAUCACCAAAGGCGGCGGGAGUCCUGUGGUGAG